CAAUUAUCCUCUUUAAAGACCCUAUCUCCAAAUGAAGUCACAUUCUCAGUUACUGAGGGUUAGAAUUUCAACUUAAUAAAUUUUGGGGUGCAGGGAACACAAGCAAGCUUAUAGCAUUGCCCAUAUUGAAUCAUUUUUAUAUCUUCACCAUCAAGCAUAGGAAAGGAUGUAUAUGGACACUCAGUGAAAGAAGGGUGAUGCCAAAAGUAGUGCUUAUUUUUCUAUCAUAUGACCUUUUUAUUCAAGUCAUUUUCUAAUCUCUUUCUCAAUCUGCUGCAGCUUCUUUUCCAUACCCCUUAUAACUCUCUGCACUUCUCAUAGGAUGUCUCAGGAAAAAUGGCCAGUGCCGUCAAUUCCUUUCCUCUCUGUACUCAUGGCCGUCUCCCCUUCUUGAAUCUCGACUGCUUGUACCUAAUUUGACUAAUAGAAUAGUUAAAAAUGACAUUAUGAAACUUCUGAGUCCGACCUUUAGGCAGAGUGGCUGCUUCUGCUUCCUGGCUCUUGAAGUCUUGAACUACUUUCUAAGAAGUUCAGGCUCCUCUGCUGAAAUGAGACUCCACAUAGAGGAGCUGGAAACGGAGGUGCUGGAAACAUCAGUGAAGAAGACAUCUCGUGCAGAUAAUGUCUACCUUGAGAAAAUAAUGCUGAUAGGAACUCUGACCAGAAUUACUAUCUCUCCCUUGAACCCUCUCCCUUGACAUCACAACUACUUCUAGGCCCAUUUGACUUCACUGAAGCCCCUGCUUCAAUUUUACCACCUUGAGGAUGGAUAGAUUAUCAUAAUGAUAGAGAAUUAUUUCGCACUAGCCCAGUGUAUACAGUAGGCAGUGAGGGUAGUCUUGUCUUCUGUCCUUUCCCAAAAUGCUAGCUGGCUCAGUCAUAAGAGAACUCCAAGUCUCUAAACAAGUUAAUAAAAUUAAUGCAUUUUUAGGACAACUUUUGCACUUUUAACAAAAAACCAAUUUCAUAUAAUUUGAAAACUAUUCACUGGAGCAACCAUCCACAGAAUGGUUCUCAACUAUUCCUGAACCUGAAAUGUCUGUUCAGAAGCAAUUGGUACUGUCAACAUUUCUUGUACGAUUUUAAUGAGAAAAAAAAUUAAAAGCAGAUUCUCCAUAUGGCCAGUCAUUAAUCACUGCAAUGAUAGCUGGGAAGUAAAUUAACUGAUACUGUAACCUCUUCCCCUUCAGAAGCUAAGGAAUCAUAAAGGUACCACAGGAAAAUUGGUUACAUCAGAACACAUUUCUGAGGAAGUGAUGAUAAUUAAAAAUGUUAAAAAUCAAAGUUGUAAACAUUUAUUUUAAAAGUAAGACACCCUGAGAACUUCAAGUGUAGAGACAGUGCUGCAAUUCUCAUCUCUUCAUGUCACUUCCUGUGUGCUGCUCAGGCCAGGCCACCACCUGCUCCAGGGCACCCCUCUGCAUCCAUUGAGGACUUAGGAUCCUUAUUGUGUCCUGCUCUUUCCUCAAAUGUUGGAGUAAUCCCAAAGGACCUGCAGGACCAUGUAGACCGUAUGUCCUGCAUCACAUCUUCCAAGCAUCUCCAUGACUGCAGCAUUCGAUACCUCAGCUACACUCUGGACUUUUCUGUUUCCUAGGGUUGUUUCAUCUCGAAAGAAAAAUUGCAUUAGGAUUCUCAGUCCCUCAAUUCCUUCAUUUUACUUCAGUGUUCGUCUCGCAUCCUAACAGAUACAAUUUUUGUUUCUAUCCAGGGCAGAUAACAUGGUGUCACACUCUCAACUCUCUAAGCCUUUGGCCCUUCUGCCAACUUGUUUUGCUAAACGUCACACAGCUUAAAUUGAAACAAACUCUUGGUUUCCUAAUUCCCUGCUUGGUCUGAUGGGAGCUGCUGGACAACUGUUGAAUCACGCAACCGUACAGAUGAGUUUGAUUUCAUAUUUAUAAGCCAAAAUGUCAAAUGAAUUUUCAAAGCAACUCAAUAAGUAAAACAUAUUUAUUAUAGAACUCACAAAAGCAGACAAACAAACAAAAACAGUGUAGAGAAAAAAGGCACCCAUAAUACCAUUACACAGAAAACUGGUGAUCAGCUUUUUGGUGCUUUUCCUCCCAAUCUUAUUUUUAUGCAUAUAACAGGAAUAAUGUGCAUGUUAUCUUAUAAAAUACCCCUUAAUAUUAUAAAAUUCACUUAGGUAAUGUCACAGAAUUGAUUUCCAGCAUCUGAUUUUUCAUGGUUCCAUAUUAUUCCUCUUUUUAGACACUCUAUUAUUUAUCUUCAACUUUCCCUUACUGGUGGUUAUUUAGAUUAUUACUGACCAGCAACUCUAACUUUUUAUUUAGAAUGCGUUUUGAAAGAUAGAAUUUGGGAGCUAAAGAAAAUAACAGUUUAAGGUUCUUGAUGCACUUUGACAAAUCAAUUUUGAAAAUAGUGAGAACAAUAGAUUCCAAUGACAGUGGAAACAAGAACAACUGUUUUUUCCUGUACUUGGCAUGCUGAGUAGCUUAUAUCACCAAAUGUGAGACCGUACAUGAUCAGUGACCAAAGUAGCACUGAUAGCACUUAAAAUUCUUUAAGUGAGUAAAAUUCGGAUAUAUGUGUGUUUUAUCUCUGUGAUUACUAGUAAGAUUAAGCUUUUCACUUUAUAAGUUUCUUAGCAUCAAUUGUUUUUGUGAAUUACUUGUUCACAGUUUUAAAGUAAUCAUUUGAACUAUUCCUAGCCAUCUCAUCUCCAAUUCCACAACUUCCAAGUUGGCUUCCUGCAUUUUAGAUGGUAUUUAGUUUGUCUGGCAAAAAUAUUUCCUCUUCUUUAUCCCCAUACAUUGUCUUCUGUACUGUGCUGGUUUAUUUAUGGGCAACUCAGAUUUUUUUCCCAUUUUUUGCCUGUUACUUUAUAUCACAUGAGCUAGAACCAUGGGGAUUAUAUUUACUUAAAUUCCACUAGCUGGAUUUCAGGUAAGAUUUCAAUACAUCUUUUAUGCAAUAUGGGGUAGGCCAAAAAGAAGCAGAAACCAUCAUUCCUCAUAAGCAGCAGGGCCACACAUAUGGGUUUUGGCAGAAGGCAAAUGCGAGGUUUUUCCACCUUCUGGGUGUUUUCCUGCCAGCCUUCCAAUUUGGUGCUACAGGCAGCUGAGAUUAUCCUGGCAUUUUUCUACAAUACCCAUAUAAUUAAACUCUUGAAUGCUAGCAGUUUCCCUGUAAGGAGUCCAGCUCAACUCCCAAAUUCUAUGUGUGAUCUUUCAGGCUAAACCACAGCAAGGGUGGAGAGGCCUCCCAGGGGGAAGUCGCCCUCCCCACACCAGACUUGUUGCACUGCCAGUCCAUUGUAGUUUUCUGGCGGGAACUGCAGUCAAGGAAUCAGGGACCCCAGGACUAGCCAUGCUCUUUCAUGGAGGCAUUUUUAUUAGGCCCAAGGGGUCUUCAACACUUUCCAGGAACCUCCUCCCAGACCUCAGUAGAGGACUUGCCUACGGCACUUCUCUCCAUUUUGACUCCAUACCUGCCAACUCCUAUUACAUCCCCUAUGACUCCCCAAUAGGUUUUCCUUGCCUGCUGCCCAGAUAAAGCCAAUUUAUCAAGACAGGGGAAUUGUAAUAGAGAAAAUGUUCGAUUCACACAGAGCCCACUGAAUGAGAGACCAGGGUUUUAUUAUUCAAAUAAGUCUCCCUGAAAAUUUGGAGACUGGGGUUUUUAAAGGAUAAUUUGGUGGGGAGGGGACAGGGAGUAGGGAGUGCUCGUUGGUUGAGUCAGAGAUGAAAUCAUAGGAGGUCCAAGUGUGUUCUUCUUGCUGUCUUCUGUUCCUGGGUUGGAUCACAGAACUGGUUGAGCCAGAUUGCCAAUCUGGGUGGCACCAGCUGGUGUAUCAGAAUGCAGGGUCUGAAAAAUAUUUCAAGCAUCAAUCUUAGGUUUCACAAUAGUGAUGUUAUUUCUAGGAGCAAUUGGGGAGGUUCAGAACCUUGUGGUCUGUGGCUUUAUGACCCCUAAGCCAUAAUUUAUAAUCUUAAAAGGCAGCCUGGACCCCAGACAAGAAAGGAAUUUGUUUCAGAAAAGAGCUGUUAUUAUCUUUGUUUCAAAGUUAAACUAUAAAUUCCUCUGAAAGUUAGUUGGCCUAUGCCCAGUAAUGAACAAGGACAGCUUGGGAGGUUAGAAGCAAGAUGGGGUCAGUUAGGUCAGAUCUUUUUCACUGUCAUAAUUUUUGGAGUUCCUCCAUUUGGAGUUCCUCCAUUUGGCUCACAAAUCCAUAAAGAGGCAGAAGCGUUCGUUUGGGGCUCCUCAGCAGUGAUAUCAUGCUUACCAUCUGAGCUGCAUUCACCUAGUUCUUGCCCAGUUGCAUUUCUAGGGGAAAAAUGGAACACUGAGGAGCCAGUGUCUGCUUAUGCUCAACGCUGUGAUCUUUGUUUCCCUGGGCUCUAAUAUGCUGAGUUAAAUCUCUUCCAUAUCGAAUAUCUAGAGAUGUUUCUUUUGUUCUGAUAGAAUCUUUACUGAAUCUGUUACUUUUAAUGGCAAAAACCGCAAUUACUUUUGCACCAACCUAAUAAUAUUUCUUCUUUUUCAUCCACUUUACAGGGAAAAAUGUUGCAUUUCCUCCUCAAGGUUCAUAAUUCAUUCUCUCAGUCAUUAAUUCAUUUAAACAUGUUUAUUACAUAUCUGGUACUAUGUAAUAAUCACUGGCACUGUGUUAGUUCCUAAGAAUACAAGAUGAAGAAGAUCUGGUCUAUGCCUUCAAGGAUUUCUUGUCUUAUUCAGGAGAGAUAAACAGACAUAUCAUUAUAAUUCACCAGUUAACACAGGGAGCUAUUGGGAAGCAGAGGAAGGUUACCCAAUCCAGUCAAUGGGAUGCACAAGGUGAAAAGGCCAGCUGAGGACACAGCGAGAACGAGUGGUCUAGAAGCUGAACAGAGAGGCCUCACCAGAAACCAAACCUACUGUCACCUUGAUCUUUCACUUGACUGUGAGGAAAUAAACUUUUGUUGUUGAAGCCA